UACGGAGGGUGCAAGCGUUAAUCGGAAUUACUGGGCGUAAAGCGCGCGUAGGCGGUUUGGUAAGUGUGAUGUGAAAGCCCCGGGCUUAACCUGGGAACUGCAUCCCAUACUGCCAGGCUAGAGUACGAUAGAGGGGGGUAGAAUUCCACGUGUAGCGGUGAAAUGCGUAGAGAUGUGGAGGAAUAUCAGUGGCGAAGGCGGCCCUCUGGAUUGAUACUGACGCUGAGGUGCGAAAGCGUGGGGAGCAAACAGG
rnacentral:rRNA from 1 species